rnacentral:rRNA from 1 species
UACGUAGGUGACAAGCGUUGUCCGGAUUUACUGGGCGUAAAGAGCGCGCAGGCGGUCGUUCAAGUCGAGUGUGAAAGCCCCCGGCUCAACUGGGGAGGGUCACUCGAUACUGAUCGACUUGAAGGCAGGAGAGGGAAGCGGAAUUCCCGGUGUAGUGGUGAAAUGCGCAGAUAUCAGGAGGAACACCGAUGGCGAAGGCAGGUCUCUGGGCAUUAACUGACGCUGAGGAGCGAAAGCAUGGGGAGCGAACAGG